rnacentral:lncRNA from 1 species
AGGUUACUUGGUACAGUGGUCGACAAAACGUUGAAAUGUUGAUG